ensembl:rRNA 5S_rRNA 5S ribosomal RNA
GUCUAUGGCCAUACCACCCUGAAAGUGCCCAGUCUCAUCUGAUCUUGGAAGCCAAACAGAGUUGAGUCUAAUGAGUACUUGGAUGGGAGAUUGCUUUGGGGAGUAUGGACAUUUUAAUGA